rnacentral:misc_RNA from 1 species
GUUGGUCUGGUCGAACGAGACUAGUCUCCCACUGACAGUCAGAGGGAGGGGACGUAUGAACGCUCUCCUGGGACUCGCUCUGUGACGUUCGAAGUUGACCAAACUUUAUGAAUUAUCUUGUGAUUUGUUUAUCGCUGGAAAUUUGUGAUGUGAUGUACGAGGGAAAUUGAUGCGACUUCAACGAGUUAUAAAAGGACAAUUUUUACAAACUUUUUAAGUGUUACGAACUUUCAAGGCUUGAAUGACGUCAAGUGGCUCAAUAAAUGAAAAGUUAAAUCAUAAAAAAAGCCAAUUUGUUCACAUAAUUGAGCAAGAACAAAAAAAAUUCCUUGAAAUCUAAUCGAAAUAUUAACCAAUAAACUUGAGUUUGUAUAUUCCUUCCGCUGGAGAAUUUUAAGUGAAAUAUCAAGCCGUCCCUUGACCAGCGCGCAGCGUCGAAUUGGUGGAAUCUCGGCGUGUGUCAAGUGCCAAGCUGAGCCACAUUUGAGCCCAGUUGAGCCCAGGAGACAAAUGUGAAGGCUCCGAGGGUCUUACCACACACACGAACAUCUCGACUGGCCAAAGGGAUCAGAAAGGAGUGUAGUGUGUGUGUAGUGGUGGACUCCUGGCGUCUUUAACAAGUUUGUGGGCAGCUUGUAACGUUUUCAAGCUGUGGGCAAACUGAGGUGUUUACUAGUUUUGGGCAGCUUGAAACGUUGUCAAGCUGUGGUUGGUUUGAAACGUUAUCCAGUUGUGGGCGGCUCGAGACCUAUUCAAGUUGUGGGCGUGAUAUUUAGUGGGCGGCUUGGAGAGUGUGGGCAUCUCACAGGAUGCGUGUUAAAGUGGUAUGAUCCUCUCGCUGCCCCCUGACACAGCGCUGGAAAAUUAUGUCCAGGUGGCGGGCAUGGCUGGGAGCAGCUGGGGCGACGCCGAGUGGGGGGACCCUGCUGACUGUGAGUGCGGGGGGCCACCGCCCCCCACCUUUAUGCUGCCCCCUCCGCCGCGCCCUCCGCCACCCCCUGACGAAUCCCAGGAGGACCUGGGCGACUGCGAGGGCCCCUUCACCUGUCCCAGCCUGCUGGGGGCCCGGGAGGACCAGAGGCCCACUAGUGGCAGGGCCCCCAUGGCCGUCGUCAUCGUUUCCGCUGCUACACUCGUCGUCCUCGUUGUCGUCGCAGCCAUUAUCGUCUGCAGCAGACUACGAGGCCGCGGACGGACUCCCAAGGGGUGCACGGAGCUGAGCGGGGCCAUCAUCUACGACGACCUCCCCUCCGCCCCCACCAUUGUGCCCGCCCGCACACGCCCACGCUUCAAGCCCGUACCCAUUGACGGGGAGGAGAUGAUGGGCAUGACCAUGGGCGUUCAUCUGUACACCCCCGAACCCCGCAGUAACCCUCCGUCAGAGCACCUCUAUCAGAGCAUCUCCUCAGGUAGUGAGACGUGUAGCUACAGCACCAGUGACGCGGCGGGGCAGGACGGUCGAGCCCUCCUGCGGCCUCCACAUCCCCGGAGUGUGAGGACCUCCACCCUGGCUGACACCGACAGCGAGGAGGAACCCCUGGCGCCCAUGGGCGUCCUUGGGGAACCCAGCGACAACGACACGCCGAGCAUGUCGCCAGCCCAUUCCCGCUACUACUGUGCCAGCGCCCCACCCCGUACCUCCUCUCCGGGAUCAGAUUACGAGAGUGUUUACUACGUGGGCGGGAUGCGGCGUGGGCGUCCCCCUACCCCACAAGAGCGCGGUCUACCGCCUCUUCCCUCCCGCACUGACAGGUUCAGAAUCUACUUCUCAGUGGAUCGUGGGCAGCACCGAGCACCUGGACGGCGGGGCAGGCGGCAGAACCAGCACCACCACCCGAGGAACCCACCAGAGGCAGAACCUCUCUACGAGAACCUCACUUAGAGCACCAUUCGUUUAAGCACUAAUUUGGGACGUCGCAGCACCCUAGUCGUCCUCUGGUGGUACAGUCCUGUCCCCGGGUCGUAGAUGAACCGUCUCGACCACCACAGUUCACGCUCGUCGUAGGUGAUAACAGGACCGUCAGUACUAAGGCCAGGUGAUGCGAGGUGUGAGUGUGUGUAGCACUCAGUUCCGUUUGAUCUCAGGUGUAGCGAGCUGGCUCAGGUGUGUAGGGACCCAGCCAGACGGCCUCGAUGGGGAAUGUGUGUGAUCUCCCCGAGUGUUGAAUAGGCAAGAUAAGUGACCCGCUGGAGUUUAACGGUGAUACGGAAAUAUGCGAACUGGAGAUUAAUGAUACAGAACUACGUGGGUUAAGCAGCCCACAGUAAUGAAGGGACACUUGGAUGGUAACCUUGUAGUGACCUAUUGAGAGGCGGAGUGUUGAGUGAACAGUGACACAUGGCUCCUGCCCGUGGCGCUAACAGUGAUGUAUUACACACAGGUGGCCGAGUCUACGGUAAUACACGGAUAUAAAUAAGAAGACGCCACAGGAAGGACAUCUGGACGAUUUCUUUGGAACUAUUGAGUCUCCGGUGAUGUCAAGUGGGACGUUAUUUUUUUUUCUAUAUGGGAAUAAAGAGAGAGAGAGAGAGAGAGAGAGAGAGAGAGAGAGAGAGAGAGAGAGAUAUGGUUGCAAUAUUCAGAAGAAGGAACAUAGUGUCGAUAUUCUGAGCCUAUGAGGGGCGUCGAUGGAUGACUGCCAGUGUUGUGGUUCAGUGUUAAGGGAGUCUUGUACAACACCCAGUGCAUUUAUAAUCAACCUCUGUUGUUGGUUAGUAUUGUGGCUAUUUAAAGAAUAAUGAUUUGUAAAAUGUGCUCGACGCAUUUAGUUCUGAUUUGUUAACUGUUUUAGUGUUUAGUGGAUAGACCGAAGUGAAAGAAAACAGAAUCACAAAACGUGUGAUUUAUUUUUGGUGCUUGUGUCUUUCGUGAGUGACGUCAUCGGAGAGUUAGUGACGUCAUCAAGUCUCCCAGGCACGGCACAGGCCAAACACUGGCAGUUUGGGAUUAAGCAAAAGACUUAAAAGUGUUUGCGUCCGUAAUGAGACAAAAGAGACAGUGAGACCUUAAGCCUGGCAGUACGUACGGCUUCUGCGCGCCUCCUCGCGGACCGGCCGUACCUCAGCACGUGCGCACUUGUACGGUAACGUGCCACGUGUGUGAAUAUUCAGCCUACGGGAGUACCUUGGAUAUAUUUUGUUAGGUGAACCUGCUGGGGGGGGGGGGACUCAAGUGAAGGUUGUGCGGGCCCAGACAUACCAAGGACCAGGUAGUGUUCUUAAUCACCCCAGGUAAUUAAAGGUGUUCUUCCCCCUUGUGUGAUGAACGAACUUACAGCGCCUGCGCAAGACGCCUCAGGGUUGGACAAGACGGGGCGAUAAUUAAUUAGACUCCCUAGGUUGAUGGUAAUUGUGUAAGAGAGUUUGCGAAAUCCCAAGGAGAUUGUAAAUUUCUUCCCAAAAGACAAUACUAAACCCAAGAAUAUUGUAAUUGUUCAAGGGAAUUUGUGAAAUAAUUAGGUAGUGGAGAAAAAAAAACCCAGGGAGUGUAAUAAUAAAAAAAAGCACAAUGAUAAUGGCCCAGGGAGGAUGAUAGAAGGGGUGGGUAGGUACAAGGAGGUGGUGUACUGGAUGGGGGUUGGGGCGGGGCACUCUUGUAGUAGCGUUGUCUGAAGGUGCAUUCUAGUCCUGGACGUCCGAGCACACGCUGACUCUUUCACUCAUCACCUGCUAGAGUUAUUAUGUGACACACCAACACACACACACAAACAAACAAACACCUGCUGUCAUACAUUCAUACACACAUACCAUACAUAAUUUUAUACCUUACAUUCAUCAACUGCUUGUUAUUAUGUGGCACACGAACAUAUACAAACACACAUAAACUUACAUACAUACAUACAUUCAUUACUUCUAUCAUACAGUCAUCACUUGCUAGUGAAUACUGUGACACAAUUAUACAAAUACAUAUAUACUAUCAUACACAGGUUCAAGUUUAACUAUACAUACAAUUAACACAUACACACACACACACACUCAUAAUUUCCAUCACUUUCACCAACACACACACACACAGGUCCACAAGUAGACACCCGUGCACACCCAGGUAAUGUGCACGUCAGGAUACAGGUUAACUCACACACCUGUGGGUCAACACUACCACCCCUCUGCCAACUUAACAUAGACGGGCGAACCUCAUUUACCAUCAUGUUUUUUGACUUACCUGAGCCAAAGGGUGAACUCACGACACCUCCAAGUCUUCUCAUAUUUUUCUUUACGAUUUUUUACCAUUUUUUUUUCUUCUAGUAAAAAUAUAGUUAUAAUUUUCAACAUAAUAUAUCACCCUCCAGAAAAAAAAAACCCACUUGGUUGUUAGGGGGGUGGUUCAGGAGAUAAUAUUUUUGUUAUUGUUUUCACUUUAAGGGAAGACUUGGGUGUGUCGCCAGACCACACCACAGGGAAGAUCUUUAAAAGCAUGAGUCUUAGUUACUGUUCUUACAUAUCAGUGUCAAGAGUCUUCAGCAGUGUAUAGCCUAAGUCUCUCUCUCUCUCUCUCUCUCAUUCCUGACUUUCCCCUCACGAAGAUCCAUUUUUAUUUUCAUGUUCCAUUUUCCUCCUCACACACGCACACACACAAACCAGUCCUGUGUUCCCAGCCUCUGUUAGUGUGAGCUCUCGACGAAGCAAUUUACUCGAACCUUUACAGGGAACCGUUGUCCAGUGGUUAAUAAGUCAUAUGAUAAAAAAAAGUUACUUUUCUUUGAUAAAACGGAUCACUACCUUUCCACAAUAAGGACGAGACUUAUUCAAAUAAUACAAAUAAACAUUAAAUUAGUUACAGGUGGACAAUUAUUAUUAAGUUAAUAAUAAAAUGUCCAAAGUGUUAUUAACCAAUGUGCUUCUUUUUCUCCAAUAAGAGCAGAAUUGAUUGUGGUUGAGAUGGAGGCACACAAAGUACACCUGUGUUGUUUGGAGUGUGUUGUGUUUUGUCGUCAGCUCACGCCAUCAUGAGCUUCUGAGCAUCAUCUGGGUAUUAGCAGUAUAUAAUCUUUUUAUUCUCAUUAUUUUUCUGUAUGUUAUAUCUUAUCUUCACCGAGUAAACAGUGUAAAAGGAGAAGGUUUAUUUAGUUUUAUACAAACAAAAUUAUAAUUAUGUUUAAAAUUUUCAUAAUGUGCAAAGUUCCAACGAAUUGGUUAUGAAUUUAAUUUGAUUUUUACACAUGAAAACUGAACAAUUGGUUUAUUCUUUUGUUUUAUAUUGGUGAAAAUUAUCUGGAUUACACUGCCAGCUGAUUUAUUAUUGCCAGUACCGUUGAAUACAUCCUUCCAACCAUUCCAUCUUAUUUAUCCGGGAAUACUGUACAUUAUUGAAGAGUUCAUGGGUAGAAAAAAGGGAAAAUGUUUAUAUUAUACUAACUUACUAACAUUAUUUGUGGUCAUUUAUUUGUCACUGGGUUAAGGGGAUAUGUUUUAUAUACAGAUUUGACUUUAAUUUACAAGUUAAUUACAUUUACAAACUUAAGUCAUUUACUUAAAAAUUUACUGAUGUAUAUUUAAGCCUGAGUAUCAUGACUUAAACCCCCAGAAUAUAGAAUCAUCUUAUUUAUGGGGACAGGCAUUGUAUUCAAAGAGUUAAGAAUCUUACUCAAAGGAUUAAAUCAUUGUACUCCAGAGGUUAAGUUAACGCAUUAAACUAGAGAGAAUUAUUGUACUCAAGGGAGGGUUGGCAUCGUACUCCAGAGGUUAGAUUGAAUUAAAAGGGUUAUCUUAAUGGAGUGAACUAAUGUACUCAAGGGGGUUUGGCAUCGUACUCAAUGGGUUAAAUCUGCAUAUGCUAAUUUUAGUUACUGGUUUAAAUCAGCAGGCAAUAACUCCAGGAGAAUUCUAAUAAAAAAACAACAACUUUAUGUUCCUAAACCCGAGUUAGAUCGUAAUGGCCAGGAACAUUAAUUUUCAUGUAAUUUAAUUAAUAUUCCAUUUUCUUCUCGCUCUACAGAUCUCUUCAAAGUAUAAAAACCCCAUCGAUUCUUCAUUUUCUAACACAAAACACCCCGCUGUUUCCUUUUCAGAUCUGUUCUUUCUCUAAUUCCGCAUCACUAAGUAUUCUUUUCUCUUCGAACAAUUGUAUUCUUUCACUGAUAACCUAAGUCCUUGUACGUCACCAGCAUCCCUCCUUCACUCGCCAUUGCACCAUUAUUAUUUUUUUCGCUCACUCACCAACGCCUCAUUUUCUUUCAUAUUAUUUUAUGUCACUAAUAUCCCAUUUAUUUACCGGUAUAUUUGUAAAUAUUUUCUUUCAAGAGUUUAUCUCGUUUUCUUUAAUUGGUAAAAUAAACAAAGAUUUUCCUUCAGUUGUUAAACAUCCAUUUUGUUUCAUGAGUUAUUCAUAUCCUAUUUUCUUACAUUAGUCAACACUCCAUUUCCUUUCACUUUAUACUGUACAAUAAUGAUCUUUUGUUGUCGCACUAACUAGUCACCAUAACGACUCUCAUUUGUUUCAUUACUGAUAAAAAAAUAUUGUUUUAUGUUACAUUAUUUUUUAUUAAAGCGGUGAGUGCUCAAUGUGAUAUACUUAUAUAUUAAUAUGUUUUAUAAGAAUCUAUUGUAUUAUUCAGA